rnacentral:tRNA from 1 species
GCGGGUACGGGAAUCCGUAGAAAAUCAUCUAUGCAUCAAUGGUUUGGUGAACGAUCCCCAGGCGGCCCGUAGAGGCUUCAAACGCAAUCGGUCAGCCUUCCAAGCUGAAUACCCGGGUUCGAUUCCCGGUACCCGCUCCA